rnacentral:pre_miRNA from 1 species
AAUGGGAUAACUGGGUCAAAUGGUAGUUCCAUUUCAAGUUUUCUGAGGAAUCUCCAUACUGCUUUCCAGAGUGGUUGUUCCAGUUUACAGUCCUACCAGCAAU